rnacentral:lncRNA from 1 species
UUAUUUUACUGUUGAAACAGACCACUGGGACACAGUUAAGAGGGCAAACCAUUGCAAAAUGGGACCGGGGUACUCAACAUCAUAACAACUACAGUAGGCUGUAGUGACUGAUACUUUGAAUAAUCUUUUAAGUUUCAUUCAAAACAGAAUUGCAAAAAUGGCUAACUUUAUAAAUUCCUUUACUUGGCGCAGCCUUUGUUUUCUAUAUUUCUAAUUUGGUAAAAUGCCUCGCUCUCUGGAAUAUCCAUGGCUUGACUACUUCAGCCUGAAUUUAAUUUGAUUUUCAGUUUGCAAUUUGCUGUUUAGUGAAUAAAACCUUCUAGUGUUCAUACAGCUGUAGUAUAACCAACCCCCCUCUAAUAUCUCUACAUGAGGUGUGUUUGCUAUAUUUGGUCAAAUUAAAACAAUUUAAGUGCGCUCAUUUUAAUCUGGUUCAAUCCCAGACCCCAAAAAAGGGACCAAAACACAGAACAUCUGUUUUUGACUAAAGUAAAUAUUAUUGACCUGUGAGUGUGCAUACAUUCCUGACACUAUAGUUCUAAAACCAGUUUAGGUAGUCGGCCCCACUUACCAUUUGUGGAUUUACUCACCUGUUUCCAGUGCAGUGUGGGCUCCUCACAUCUGGCCCCGCGACCCAGAUCAGCCUCCUUGGCCGACAUCAGAAUUGAUUCUCAGACAAUCACAAUGCUAUCUCAUAGGAAAGCAUUGGAUUGGCCAAGAUUGUCAAUUCUGAUAGAAUUUAAUCAACGCAUCUAUGGGGAAAGUUUAACAUCUCCAUGCAGAGUGUAGAGACUGAACAAGCACUGACCCCAAAGGCACCUCUAUUGACCAUCUGAGGAGUAGCCACUGUAAGUUUCCCUCCUGUGUCCUUCUCUGAAAACCCAGUGUUUACCUUAAGCCUGCAGGGAUUGACUAUACUUACCAGAACUACAUGAAGCUGUUGUUCUGGUGACUAGUGUCCCUUAAAAUAUAGCCUCUAAUAGGGUCAUUUUAGCCAACAUAACUGCCUACUGUAUUUUUAUCAAUUCUUAGGUUUUAAUCCUUCCUCUGUAAACAUGACUCAUUUCCACAAGUUUCGGUGAGAGGUACGCAAUAAAUACUGUGACAUUACAGGCGGAAAUCUGUAUUGGCCGAGAGACCAUUUGUAUUAAAAAGUGCCUUAAGAACAAUGUUUUGUAUAGAAAUAUUUAUUGUGUGGAUAUUGAAGAAAGUUACAUUUCAGAGUAUUUUUGUCUGGAUAAAUGAUUUUGAUGCCCCAAAAUGUUUUGGGCAGUUUUCAGAUGUUUAACAUUUUUUUUUAGAAUUGUGCAGAGUGAUCAAAACUGUUUCUGUAUUUUUUUUUAUUUUUUUUUUUAAGUGGGGUUCAUUUUAUUUGUACAAUAUGACUCAGGCAUCUGUAAUAUUUGGUGUCAGGCUUUAACGAAUAAGUGUUAUUACAUUUUCUAUGGGAAAAAAAUAUUAAAACAUUUUACAUAGUUACAGGUUGUUUGUUUUUUUUUUUUAAAGUCUAAAUGCUGAGGAGGCUUGCGGUGAUUUCAUUGGCAUGAUACAAAAGUUAUUUAGAAAGCAAGGGG